UACGUAGGGUGCAAGCGUUGUCCGGAAUUAUUGGGCGUAAAGAGCUCGUAGGCGGUCUGUCGCGUCGGAUGUGAAAAUCCAGGGCUCAACCCUGGACCUGCAUUCGAUACGGGCAGACUAGAGUUCGGGAGAGGGAUGCGGAAUUCCAGGUGUAGCGGUGGAAUGCGUAGAGAUCCGGAGGAAGACCGGUGGCGAAGGCGGUCUGCUGGGCAGUUCUGGACACUUGAGGCGCGACAGCGUGGGGAGCAAACAGGG
rnacentral:rRNA from 1 species